CAGAGACCCAGAGAGAGCACCCAGGUGCUGGCUCCGGAGGGGUUAAGAAUGAGUCCUGGAGCGGAUAACUCCUGGAGUGGAUAACAGAGCCGAGUAACCCCAGCAAAGUAAAGCCUCAGCUCGAGCUGGAGGGAGACGACAGGAAGAAGAAGGCAAUGUCUGUGGACCCCCUAUCCAGGCAGGACUUACCUCCCACCCCAGUGCUCAGGCUGCCUCCCGCUGGAUUAAUAUUUUUCAACAUAUAAGUAUUGUUUUUGUGAUUAAUCACUAUGUUUAAAUUAUGUUUGAUUUGUAGCAAUGAGAAUACAUAAUGCAUAUCAGGUAUUUACAUUCCGAAUCAUAACUGUAGCAAAAUUGCAGUUUUGAAGUAGCCACAAAAAUAAUUUUUUGGUUUGGGGUCACUGCAACCUGAGGAACUGUAUUGCAGGGUCAUGGCAUUAGCAAGGUUGAGAACCACUGUGCUAGGAUCUUCUGGUUCUUGAGCAUAAACAAGUUCUCUUGUCUGCUCGGCUCCUCAAUUCAAACAAAGAUCAGAUUGCUAGAGUUUUAGUUCAAAGUUGUGAUUUUUGUGCGUGUUGAGAUCUCCCAGUAAAGAAACUUCCUUAAACAAAAUUGAUCUGAAACUGAAGGUUUACAGGAUUUCCUGGAAACUUAAGAGACUUGCUCAGGGUCACAGAGCCAAUGGGUAUCAGAGGUGGAACUCAGUCUCACUGACAACUUAAGAUCUGUGAGAUAUUUUGUCCUUUGGUACUGCUUCUUCUUGCCUCUUUCAAAAAUGGCAUAUGCACACUUCUCUGGGGAAACUGAGCAGAAUUACAUAAACCUUAAGUUGUCCUGAUAUGAAGACUAGAGGACAAGCAUCAUUCAUUGACGUCUUACUCAGAAGGUGAAGCAGUUGCCCUUGCCUAUAUCCCCUUGAGGCUGUAGUCUUUCUUUUUUGGUCUGUGAUAAUAUGCCUAAGGUCUUUGUGCUUUUGGCAGAACUGCAGCUCUAGAAACAGCUUCCCACAUUUGUUUGUCCUGUCCUUCUCUGGAAGUAAAUGAGUCCAUCUUCUGCCUAGAAGUAAAUUAACUGUGUUUUUUAAACCUUGUUUGCAAUGUAACACCCAAUAACUUGAUGAAGUAAUCAAACACUAGCCAAUUUUCUUUAUUUUUAUUCAGUGAAAACAUUUCUUUUGGUUGCAGUUGGAUGGCUUGGAGGAUUGAAAGCCAGACCUAGAGACAGGAGGUACUGGGUUCAAAUGUGACUUCAGACACUUCGUAGCUGUAUGACCCUGGGCAAGUCACUUAACCCCCAUUGCUUAGCCCUUACUGCUCUUCUGCCUUGGAACCAAUACACAGUAUUGAUUCUAAGAUGGAAGGUAGGGGUUUAAAACAUAUAUAUUUCUUUAUUCUCAGUCUAGCCUCUAGCAUCUAAUCAAUUAAAGGAUUCCAUUUGUGAAUAACAAACAACAAAGCUUAUGCUAGGAAGUGUAAGAUUUUAAAAGUUAUUUGAAGAUAAUUCAAACUAUGAGAGACUGUUUUGAAUCAAGUAAGGUCAGGAAAACUGCGAUUCAAAUCCUACUUCUGACAUAUACUGGCUGAAUGACCAAAGUAAAAACAUUUAACCUAUCAAAGUCCCAGUAAGGUAAGUUAAAUUAAGGAUAAAACCUUUGUCUGCAUUAGUAGAGGGAGCUUCUACGUAGGGAGUUCUCCACAACAAUGAAAUUAGAAGUCGCCUUUCCUCUCUAAACUCCUCAAAUCAAAAUAAAAUAACCUCAAUGAAUCACCAGUAUCUCAAAGCUGAUAAUGAAUGAAUCAAUAAGCACUUACUAUGUGCCAGAUCCCAUACUAGAUAUAGGGAAUAUUGUUAUUUUGGAAGAGGAUCAAUGAUAUCAAAGGGUGACAUCUUGACUUGUUCAUAAGUUGGAUUAAAGUGAGCAGAAUUGUGCAAAGUCUUUAGCCUCAUUUUCUCUUCCAGAGUCAUCCAGUCUUGUGGCAAGACAAAGAUGACCUUGGCAUCUUGUUUGUCUGACCAAGCUCUAAUAGCUCCACAUUGCCUGCUUCAGCUGCCUUUACAGUCAUUGGAACAAACUGUUCUCAUUCUCCUGUACUCCCAGGGGAAGCCUUCACAUGCGUGAAGUUUGUGAUUCAAUAGUUACCCUCAACCUGGGCUUAGCUCAUCUGCCAAGAUGGUUUACCAUGGUAUAGCUGCCAUUCAUGUUCCAGCUUCUUGGUGCCACAGUCUCCAGAUAUGUUGAUUUUUCCAAAAUGGUGGCAUUCCAUGAUUCACAAGCAUGUAGCAUCACCCCCAAAUAAGAAAACAAAAAUCUCAAAAAAAAGUGUUAAAAAAGAGAGGUGGCUCUGGCUGGCAACGUGCUAAGCGUUCCAGCAUCUUGGUGUGGCGGAAGCUAUUAUCCAGUG